CUAGGUUACUCAUUGGGUUGUCUUCUGGCCUCAGAGUAUCCCUUAUCAGAACCUUGGGCCCCUGGGCCCCUUCACUCAGUACUUGGUGGACCACCAUCACACCCUCCUGUGCAAUGGGUAUUGGCUUGCCUGGCUGAUUCAUGUGGGAGAGUCCUUGUAUGCCAUAGUAUUGUGCAAAUGAGAAAACUGAUUCUGAGAGAUACUGAGUGAUUUGCCCAGGUCACAGCUGGCAUAAAGGCAUCACAAGUGGUCGGGCUCAGCUACUCUGGUUCCUACAGACUUUCUUCUUUGGGAUAGUGUCUCUCACCAUCUUGAUUGCUUACAAAGGGAAACGCCAAAAACAAACUUGAAGUUGUCUGAAAGCUUGCUCUACACUUUUACAUUCAUCCUCACCUUUUUUUUGUGGGGUAGAGGAGGUGCAGUAUUUACUCAGUGAUCUUUCUACUUUCUGGAAACUGUCCUUCAAAGCUCUUUAAGACCCCCUCGUUAGUCAGUUUUUUCUCUUAUAUGCUCUGGUUGAGCUUGAAUAGACCAGUUAUUACUUAAGAAGAAACAGAGAAAGAUUUUAGCUUUUCAAUCCUAUUUGGCAGAGGACUUCAGCUACCUUCUUACGGUCUUUGGCUGUGUUGGUGCCCUUGUGUGCUCUGAGCUAAGCCACAUACUAAAUUGACUUUUUGGUUUGUAUACCCUUGCUCCCGCCUUCUGAUGAAAACACCUUACCCUCACAACCACCAUCUUUCCUCUGCUUUCCAAAGCUCUUUCCACCUUGCUGCACUAAGAUA
rnacentral:sRNA from 1 species